CAGUCGCCGCGGGAAUACAGAGGGUGCGAGCGUUAAUCGGAUUUACUGGGCGUAAAGCGUGCGUAGGCGGCUUCUUAAGUCGGAUGUGAAAUCCCUGAGCUUAACUUAGGAAUUGCAUUCGAUACUGGGAAGCUAGAGUAUGGGAGAGGAUGGUAGAAUUCCAGGUGUAGCGGUGAAAUGCGUAGAGAUCUGGAGGAAUACCGAUGGCGAAGGUAGCCAUCUGGCCUAAUACUGACGCUGAGGUACGAAAGCAUGGGGAGCAAACAGGAUUAGAUACCCGCGUAGUCCCUGUCUCUUAUAC
rnacentral:rRNA from 1 species